AUGUUCGAUCCUUGCGCGAAUCGCGGAUACACUAGGUGUCUCAGCAAUUGUAGUAUAAAACAGUCAAACGAAACGAUUCAUCAAACGGAAACGGACCGAACAUUUUAAAUGGAAUUUUUGUUGUAUGAUAAAUUGUAAAAUGAUAAAAUCAACAGUUUAUUUACGAGGUGAAGAGAUUCAUUCUUUGGCUAUUUAAAGUAAAUUUAACAUUUAUAAAUAAAAAUCAUACAACCUUUAAGCUACCCUCAGUCAUAUAUUCCAAGAAGAGACCCGUAGCGAUCUUGUCGCGAACGAGUGAAAUAAUGCUGUAAACUCCACUAUCGAUGCUAGAAUUAUGUCUCCCGUGAAAGUACUCUGGAAUACUUUAUUGUGCAGAGCAAAGCAAACACGACUCCUUGAAGAGGCUAAAGGACCUGAGGAAACUGUCCUCGUGCAUACGAUCUACACGUACGUUGCAAUCACGUUCGAAGGGGUAAUUCUGUAGGAGAUUGCCAAUCCUCCGCAGCAACAAGUAUAACUAAGCUGGUAUUUCGCAGGUGUGAAUCGAAUUUCGAAAAAAAAAAGAACAUCCGAGUUGAAGAUGACUUCGAUGGUGCUCACAAUUAAUUUUUAUCGCUUCAUGUUAUAUUACUUGUCUUUAUAUCGUGUACGUGGGUACUGUACUUAGAUUUUAGAAUAUUUAGAGGCUUCCAAUAACAAUAAUCGUUACAAAUUGCUUAAGCAUUCGUCGAAAUGAAAGAAACGGAGCAGUGCAGACGGCCGAGCAAACCACUCCAACGAGAAGUGGUUCCAUUCGAUUGUUUAAUUUUCAUCUUUAAUUGUCCUUAAUUGCAUCAGACCCCAACGCAGACGUAAUUUCAACCUCCAAUCGGCGCUCAAAUCACAAUGUUUGUCUUGUAUAUCCGUCCGGACGAAAUCGACCUCUCUACCCCCUUAAAUUGCUCAUCGCUGCUCGCACAUUCGAGAAAGUAAUUUUCGUUUCGGCUAUUCUAUCGCCCCUCGAACGAAUGAUUACAUCAUCCGAGGGGGAUGCAUCAUUCUCGCACCCGAGCCAGGGGUGGAUUAACUUGAUGCGCAACCCCGUCACCAAAAUUCAUAAUCUGUACAGCCCGAGCGAGAACCAUAUUCCCCCGCAAGUGGCAAAUACUAACACAAAGAACGCGAUGUUAUCGAACGUCAUUCGCAUCGUGUCGUCGAGCCAUUUUACGAGCGAAACUUUGCACGCGGGAGAUUCACAAUGGCGGCGACUUCGUUCGAUAGAACCAGGAGUUCGAUUACUUUGAAUAUUUGUUCGGUGAUCGAAUCUGUAAUAAUUAUUGUUAUCGUAAAUGGGUCGGAUGCAAGUAUAAUGCGUAGGUAAAUAAUGAAACAAAGAACCGAUGAAAUAUGUACAAAAAUUAAUUGUGAAUUUAAUUUGAGAAUUUUCUAUCUAUCGACUUCAUAUAUGUAUUACUAUAAUAUAUAAGUACUUCAUUCUGGUAUC